UUGAGAACCUGGCAGGGGAGAUACCAUGAUCACGAAGGUGGUUCACCCAUGGUGAGGCCUAGCCAUUGCACUGCAGCUGUGCUGACCCAUGUGAAUUCCCCCAAUGUGGGAAUCUCAGCAUCUAUUUGGUGGGCAGCAUGUGGCUCUGUGGGCUAAGCCUGU